UACAGAGGGUGCAAGCGUUAAUCGGAAUUACUGGGCAUAAAGCGUGCGUAGACGGUUAUGUAAGUCGGGUGUGAAAGCCCCGGGCUCAACCUGGGAAUGCCAUUCGAGACUGCAUAGCUAGGGUGCGGAAGAGGGAAGCGGAAUUUCCGGUGUAGCGGUGAAAUGCGUAGAUAUCGGAAGGAACACCAGUGGCGAAAGCGGCUUCCUGGUCCAGCACCGACGUUCAGGCACGAAAGCGUGGGGAGCAAACAGG
rnacentral:rRNA from 1 species